rnacentral:lncRNA from 1 species
CAUAGCUCUGCAGGGGAACAGGAUCGCUGGCGCCUCCUGGGCCGCUAAGCGACCCCGGGGCUGCCCGGCUUAGCGAGUGCUUCGCAGAGAGGUAGCCGAGUCGAGGCAGCGCGGUUCCCAAGGAAGUCACGGCUGCGGCCACCCUCCAGUUCGGACCUCCGGGCAGCCGCGGUUGCUUUCAGUCUCUGCCCAUUGAGACAAAAGAGCGUGACAAGCCGCGCGACGCGGCCAAUCAGCGGGGCGAGGAGGCGGCCUACCCAAGCAGCCUCUGGCCCUGAAGCUACUGCUAGCAAGACUCGGGAGCUGGCUGGCGGGGGCUGAGGCCGACAGGCACGGGAGCCGGCGCGGCGUCAAGUGGAGCUCGGACGCACGGACCAGGCCCAUUUCCCUUUCAUCUGUUGUAGUUCUAGCAGUGAGAACUUCUCACUGAAUGCCACAGAAAUUAAAGACACAGUUGUUGGAGGUAUGAUGUCAGACAGCAUUUGUCACCAAGGUUGGCAGAAAAUGGCUAGUCCAGGAGAGUUGAAAAUGAGCUUCCACAUCUGCAAAUCGGGAUGUGUUGGAACAGUACUCAACUUGUGGAUUCAAGGAAGUAUGAACACAGAGUCUGCAUAAGGAAAGGAAAAAGAUGCAUUUAUCUCCUAAUUACACUGGUGAUUUCCACUUAUGUCACUCUGUACAUCCAUGUCCCUUUCUUCAUUUUAACUUCUUAUUUAAAAAUAAUUUCAAACAUUUAAAAAUGUUGCAAGCAUAAAUAAAGCUUAAAGAACACCCAUGUCCCCUUUACCCUAAUUCCCCUAUUAUUAAUGUUUCUCCCCAUUUGCUUUAUUAUUUAAGUGUGCACUCUGUCUAUACACACACAGGAUAUUUUUUCCCUGAACUGUGAAUUGCAUACAUCAAUUUUCAGUAUUCCUCGAUUCAAUGUUUGCAAAUCCAAAUUCUUUUAAAAAAGACUGUGUUUUAUCUCUAUGACAAUGGAACCGUUAUUGCAGAAUAUUAUAAAAUGAAAAGUCACAUGGUAUAUGUGAUACUGUGAAAUAUAUAUUUGCUCUUCGAUCCUGUUUCCUGGCAUGCAACUCUUAAAAUCCUUAGAAUUUCCAAAGUGAUAUCUUUUUGUAUGCUAAUAAUUGACUGAUGGCUGGCAGCCUCUGGUUGCUUCAGGAUGGGAACUAGUCACCAGAGAGACCAAGGCGCCAUUAGAGGGUUGGGACUUAACAGCCUCAUUCCCGACCUCCAGGGAGGGGAGAGGGGUGGAAGGUUAAGUCGAUCACCAGUGGCCAAUGAUUUAAUCAAUCAUACCUAUGUAAUGGAGCUUCCAUAAAAUCCCCAAGGAACUGGGUUUGGUUAGCUUCCAGAUAGCUGAAUAUAUGGAGGUUCCUGGAGGGUGGUGACCCAAGGAGGGCAUGGAAGCUCUGAGCCCCUUCCCCAGUACCUCACCCUAUGCAUCUCUUCAUCUCUAUCCUUUGCAAUAUCCUUUAUAAUAAACUGGUCAACGUUAGGUAUUUCCCUGAGUUCUGUGAGCCUUUCUGACAAAUUAAUCAAACCCAAAGAGGGGGUCAUGUGAACCGAAACUUGAAGCCCAUCUGUCAGAAGUUCUGGAGGACUGGAUUUGCGACUGGUGUCUGAAGGGCCUGGGAACAGUCUUGUGAGACCUAGUCCUCAGCUUGUGGGAUAUGACGCUAUCUCCAGGUAGAUUUGUGUCAGAAUUGAAUUGGAGUACACCCAGCUGGUGUUUGCUGCAGAACUGAUUGCUCACUUAGUGUGUGGGAAAACCCCACACAUUUGAACAUGGAAAUAUUCUUUGUUGAUUGCCGUGAUGUGAAAGCAAAGGAAAAAGUUUGUGUGUUUUCCCCUCAGAGCAUAUUUUAAAGCUAAGUUGCUAAUAAUUGCUUAAAUUUACUAUAUUUGCCUUUAUAAAAACUUUAUGUAUGUUUAAAGCUUGAAGCUAUUCAAUUAUAAUAUAAACGUGGAUUUACAACUGAAGCAUGUUAUAAUUUAAAUAAUUGAGUUUUACAAAUUGGUUCAUAUAAAAUCCUAGGCAAUACUGUAAAAUUAUACAGACUUGUCAACUUUUUCCACUUAAAUCUUCUGAGCAAAAUUUAAGGGUGUAGUAGUUUUCAAGUAAUUUCAAAUGUCAAUAUUAAUAUUUAGUUUUGUGAUGUUUAUGUGGGCAUAUUUUCUGAUAUAAAAAAUGACUUUUAGGAGUUGAGAUCAAUAAAAUAAGGAGGUAAUAAAUACCUACAUCUGUUUAAAGACAUAAAAUAUACAAUUUAACACUAAAGCUACUUGGUAU